rnacentral:lncRNA from 1 species
AAUGCUUUCCACAUUUCUUUCUCCAUUCUGUUCCACUGCUCUUCUCUGGUUCAUGUCCACCACUGACUGGGACCCUGAAGAGGCAUUUCAGAGUGUUGGAGAAGAAUCUGUAGCUUGUUGAAAAAGCUGGGGGUGAAAGGGAACAAGGAAGGUGAUGUGUGAGUCUGGCAGGCAGGAGAAGGGGUGUUCAUAGAAGCAGUGUGCAGUUGGAUAGACUUCUGCGUAAGAAAGCUGGAUUGACUGUUGUUCCUUCAUAUAAUGCCUUGAGAAAUUCUGAAUAUCAAAGGCAGUUUGUUUGGAAGACUUCUAAAGAAACUGCUCCAGCUUUUGCAGCCAAUCAGGUUUUCCACAAUAAAAGCCAGUUUGUUCCACCAUUCAAAGGUAACUCAGUCAUCCAUGAAACUGAAUACAAAAGAAAUUUCAAGGGUUUAUCUCCAGUGAAAGAACCAAAAUUAAGAAAUGAUUUGAGAGAAAACAGAAAUCUUGAAACAGUGUCUCCUGAAAGGAAGAGUAAUAAAAUAGACGAUCGUUUAAAAUUGGAAGCAGAGAUGGAAUUAAAAGACUUACACCAGCCUAAAAGGAAGCU